UACAGAGCGGGCUAGCGUUGUCCGGAAUGACUGGGCGUAAAGAGCGCGUAGGUGGUCUAUUAAGUUGGAUGUGGAAUCCCCGGGCUCAACCUGGGAACUGCAUUCGAUACUGAUAGACUGGAGGCCGAGAGAGGAAAGCGGAAUGACGAGUGUAGAGGUGAAAUUCGUAGAUAUUCGUCGGAACACCAGAGGCGAAGGCGGCUUUCUGGCUCGGACCUGACACUGAGGCGCGAAAGCGUGGGGAGCAAACAGG
rnacentral:rRNA from 1 species